rnacentral:rRNA from 1 species
UGGGGAAUCUUAGACAAUGGGGGAACCCUGAUCUAGCCAUGCCGCGUGAGCGAUGAAGGCCUUAGGGUUGUAAAGCUCUUUUCAGCUGGGAAGAUAAUGACGGUACCAGCAGAAGAAGCCCCGGCUAACUCCGUGCCAGCAGCCGCGGUAAUACGGAGGGGGCUAGCGUUGUUCGGAAUUACUGGGCGUAAAGCGCACGUAGGCGGAUUAGUCAGUCAGAGGUGAAAUCCCAGGGCUCAACCCUGGAACUGCCUUUGAUACUGCUAGUCUUGAGGUCGAGAGAGGUGAGUGGAAUUUCCCGAGUGUAGAGGUGAAAUUCGUAGAUAUUCGGAGGAACACCAGUGGCGAAGGCGGCUCACUGGCUCGAUACUGACGCUGAGGUGCGAAAGCGUGGGGGAGCAAAACAGGAUUAGAUACCCUGGUAGUCCACGCCGUAAACGAUGAAUGCCAGUCGUC